GGAGUAACAGGCGCACUUAUAGAGCUCCCAGGAAUGUACAAAUGGUGGGGAAAUCUGGAUGAUGAAGGCGAUGAUCCGGAUGAGAGAUUCUUAAGCCAAGGAAUUAGGGUGUUAGGAUCAUGAUUAUUUUGGACAUUUGCAACAUAAUUGGAUGAGACUGGGCUAGGGAAAGAUGAUGAAGCAGGACUUGGAUUAUACGAAGCACCCGGACUCGGUUGGUAAGAUGAGCAGGGGCUUACAGAUGCUGAAUAACCUAUAAUAUCC
rnacentral:misc_RNA from 1 species